rnacentral:lncRNA from 1 species
UGUCACUUUCUUGUUCUUGGAGGAAGACAAGAGUAUCUUCCACCAUUUCCAAGUUUGCCUCAUGUUCUUGGAGAAAUACAACAUAAUCGUCCAGAAUUGCACUUCUCCUCUCUCUAGUGGAUCUCCUUAAUGGCACUUCAGGUUCUUGAGGUUGUUGAGUUUGAUUUUCAUUAAUGAUAUUAGGAACUUAAUUAGGGAGAUUAUCA